GACGAACGCUGGCGGCGUGCCUAAUACAUGCAAGUAGAACGCUGAAGGAGGAGCUUGCUUCUCUGGAUGAGUUGCGAACGGGUGAGUAACGCGUAGGUAACCUGCCUGGUAGCGGGGGAUAACUAUUGGAAACGAUAGCUAAUACCGCAUAAUAGCAGUUAUUGCAUGAUAACUGUUUGAAAGGUGCAAUUGCACCACUACCAGAUGGCCCUGCGUUGUAUUAGCUAGUUGGUGGGGUAACGGCUCACCAAGGCGACGAUACAUAGCCGACCUGAGAGGGUGAUCGGCCACACUGGGACUGAGACACGGCCCAGACUCCUACGGGAGGCAGCAGUAGGGAAUCUUCGGCAAUGGACGGAAGUCUGACCGAGCAACGCCGCGUGAGUGAAGAAGGUUUUCGGAUCGUAAAGCUCUGUUGUAAGAGAAGAACGAGUGUGAGAGUGGAAAGUUCACACUGUGACGGUAUCUUACCAGAAAGGGACGGCUAACUACGUG
rnacentral:rRNA from 1 species